rnacentral:rRNA from 1 species
UACGUAGGGGGCGAGCGUUGUUCGGAAUUACUGGGCGUAAAGGGCUCGUAGGCGGCCGGCUAAGUCCGACGUGAAAUCCCCAGGCUUAACCUGGGAACUGCGUCGGAUACUGGCGGGCUUGAAUCCGGGAGAGGGAGGCGGAAUUCCAGGUGUAGCGGUGAAGUGCGUAGAUAUCGGGAGGAACACCGGUGGCGAAGGCGGCAUCCUGGACCGGCAUUGACGCUGAAUAGCGAAAGCCAGGGGAGCAAACGGG